UACGUAGGGGGCAAGCGUUGUCCGGAUUCAUUGGGCGUAAAGAGCGUGUAGGCGGCUAGGUAGGUCGGUUGUGAAAACUGGAGGCUCAACCUUCAGAGGUCGACCGAAACCAUCUGGCUAGAGUCCGGGAGAGGAGAGUGGAAUUCCUGGUGUAGCGGUGAAAUGCGCAGAUAUCAGGAAGAACACCCGUGGCGAAAGCGGCUCUCUGGAGCGGUACUGACGCUGAGACGCGAAAGCGUGGGGAGCGAACAGG
rnacentral:rRNA from 1 species